UGACAUUAAGUUACAUAUCUCGCUCCGCAAAAGAUUGAAUGUAGAAGCUAUAUCUAUUCUACAUCCACCUGCUAAAGGAGACAUUCCAGAUAAAUCAGAGCGCGACAAAGAUAGCUUUCCAUGGCUCCGAGUUUGACGGAGGAGGGCCGGGCCGCCCAGGUCGGGCCGUUGCGCCGUUGCCGGCCGCCUUGCCGCCCGUGUCCCCGCCGGCGGCGGCGGCCGCUGACCAGCCGAUCCGCCGCGGCCGCGGCCGGCCACCCAGCAAAGGGCCGUGCCCAGCAGAGGGCAAGUGGCUGCACCGGGGCCGAGCCCCUUUUCGGCUUUGAAAAGCCGCCCCCCUAGUCGUUUCUGAAAUGCAGGUGCACAAUUAGGUCACGCCCAUUGGCUUAGUCUAGGAUAUUGGAGUUGUCGACAUGUCAGCUAAAGUGGCAGCUGCCACAAUUCACGUGUGGUUCGUGAAUUUGUUUUUUUCUGCUAACCUGUGCAAACAGGUAUAUUUUGCCUUGUGGUGCAUUAUUCAAGCAACUGUUCCUCAUUGGUCAUGUGUGCGCGUGUAUUUGCUAGGUGACUCGGUGGCUAGGAGGCUAGGAGGCGUGGUGACUUGGCAGCUUGGUGGCUUGGAGGUGAGGUGGCUCGGUGGCUAGGAGGCUUGGUGGCUCAGUGGCUCGGUGGCUAGGCGGCUUCACAGCUAGGCGGCUUGGCAGCUACAUGGCUUGGAGGCUAGGCGGCGAGGAGGCUAGGAGGCUGGGCAGCUAGGCAGCUAAGUGGCUAGGUAUAAAAUCUAUCUGGAUGUUUCUUAAGAGUUAGGGAAUGCCCGGAGUGAGUGAGUGUCACUCAUGGGGGUUGUUGGCAAGUGAUUGACACUCAUACUAUGUGUAGUACACCAGAGAAUGGUGACAGCAGUAAUCGGACCUGGGGAGUUCAGUGCGUUGCUUUGUCUUAACAGGCUGUGAGCCCUAUUGAGAGUGAAAACAUAACCGGAUGUUGAACACCACAUGAUCAGGUCUCCCACCCAGUCAGAGUCGCUAUACCUAGACAUUUGAGCAUCAUCAACACGCCCAAAACGCAAUCCUAGUUCGUGUGUACCCACCAGGUAACAACGAAUGCCGGUUGCCAGGUUCAUGGCACUCUUUGAGGGUGUGGCCAUAUGCCGGAACAAAAUACUCAAUGCAUAAGCAAUGUCAGGCUGUGGAUUCAUCUCUAGGUAGUUCAACUCUCCCACGAAAGCCCUAAACUUCGUGGGAUUGCUCAGCAGCUCGUUCUGAUCCCCAUAGCCUAAAGCCUGAAGGUAAAGGGGUAGACUGGAGCUUGGCAUCCACCAUCUGAUGAUAUGCUCUAGCAGCUGCUCAAUAUACCUAUGUUGCGAGAACACCAGCUCACCUGCCUUCUCAUUCCUAAUCUCCAUGCCUAAAAACACCUGCACUUCUCUAAGGUCUCGCACCUUAAAAACCUUCACAAUGGCUGCGUUAAGAGCACGGACCAUUUCUGGAUCCUCUGAUGCCAUGAUGGUAUC
rnacentral:lncRNA from 1 species